rnacentral:lncRNA from 1 species
AGCUGACCAAAUACAAAAUUGUGACCUAUUUGGGGUAUGUCUUUCUCCAGAACACUGGGCCAACUACCUAGUCAUAAUACAGAGCUGCAGGGAAUUCACAUUCCUGUAGGUCCCUGGAUGAUCGGCACGGAUGGCCCAGGGCUGGGAAGAGCGCUGGCCCAGGAGUUGAGAGUCCUGGGUUCUCUCUGUGGCUCGGCUAGUCAUGAAGUCUUGCUGAGCCUCAGCCUCCUCACCUGUAAAACUGGGAUCCCAGUAUAGACUUUGGAAAUCAGUAGACACCAUAUGCUUCAAAAAACAGGGGCUAUUAAAAUGACAUCAGGAGCCAGAAAGUCUCAUGGCUGUGCUUUCUCUUGAAGUUUAUACAACAACCAGAUCACCGAUGUCGGAGCCAGGUACGUCACCAAAAUCCUGGAUGAAUGCAAAGGCCUCACGCAUCUUAAACUGGGAAAAAACAAAAUAACAAGUGAAGGAGGGAAGUAUCUCGCCCUGGCUGUGAAGAACAGCAAAUCAAUCUCUGAGGUUGGGUGAGUAGAAGGGGACGGAUGUAUGUGGUACAACCUGCUGUGUGUGGGGGGAGCCCCUGCUGUUCUUUUCAUACAUCAGUACACCAGAAGGACCACUGGGGCUCGCUGUCGGGGAGAGAUAGUGGAGAGCUUUCACCAUGCUGCAAAACUGAAACCGUGCCCAUUAAGCAA